rnacentral:rRNA from 1 species
CCUACGGGUGGCUGCAGUGGGGAAUAUUGGACAAUGGGCGAAAGCCUGAUCCAGCCAUGCCGCGUGUGUGAAGAAGGCCUUCGGGUUGUAAAGCACUUUCAGUGGGGAAGAAAGCCUUGGGGCUAAUACCCUCGAGGAAGGACAUCACCCACAGAAGAAGCACCGGCUAACUCCGUGCCAGCAGCCGCGGUAAUACGGAGGGUGCGAGCGUUAAUCGGAAUUACUGGGCGUAAAGCGCGCGUAGGCGGUCUGAUAAGCCGGUUGUGAAAGCCCCGGGCUCAACCUGGGAACGGCAUCCGGAACUGUCAGGCUAGAGUGCAGGAGAGGAAGGUAGAAUUCCCGGUGUAGCGGUGAAAUGCGUAGAGAUCGGGAGGAAUACCAGUGGCGAAGGCGGCCUUCUGGAUUGACACUGACGCUGAGGUGCGAAAGCGUGGGUAGCAAACAGGAUUAGAUACCCGUGUAGUC